GACGAAGGUGGCGAGCGUUGUUCGGAAUCACUGGGCAUAAAGCGCACGUAGGCGGCGGCGUAAGUCAGGUGUGAAAUCCCUCGGCCUAACCGAGGAACUGCGCCUGAUACUGCGUUGCUCGAGGAUCAAAGGGGUGCAUGGAAUUCCCGGUGGAGCGGUGAAAUGCGUUGAUAUCGGGAGGAACGUCGGCGGCGAAAGCGGUGCACUGGUUGAUCUCUGACGCUGAGGUGCGAAAGCCAGGGGAGCAAACGGG
rnacentral:rRNA from 1 species